rnacentral:tRNA from 1 species
GGGUGAUUAGCUCAGUUGGUAGAGCAGCUGACUCUUAAUCAGCGGGUCGCAGGUUCGAAUCCUGCACCACCCA